rnacentral:lncRNA from 1 species
AUGAGUUUUUCAGCACUCGGGGUAAUCUUCCGAGACCCGAGCGGCCCGGAAGGACAACCGAAGCCGAGAAUCGCCGAGUUCCCACUGCAGCACAGCGACCCGAGGAGGCCACCGAGGGGACUACGGCCCGCUCGUAGCCGCCUCCUCCUGCUCCGGCGCCGUCCCGCCCCGGGGCGGUCUCUGGCUCGGUGCGGCGGCUCUGCCUCCCGGCUGCGGAGGCCUCGCUCCGUCCGCCGAGGCCUGGGGCCCAACUGUCUCCGGCUCCGCUUCUACCUCCUCACGGAGCCACCGCCGCGGCGCCGGGUUCGGGGCAUGUUGCAAGGCCAUGAAACCAGACAUCUGACAUUGUUGAGAAAUAUGUGGUUAAAGCCCAAAUCAGUAGGGAAACUCCCUCGGUUCCUCUUUGAGCCCGGCCAGGCUUUGGGUGGAAUCCAAAAGGAGGAUGAAAUCUGAUGUUUCUGCACUUGAAGUUAUGUAAGCAUGGUUUUUCAGUUAUAUAAAAGCUGGACUCCCUUACAGUGACUUUAGAGACCUCACCUAUGAGUGGAUGUGCUGCAUAGGACCUCCCAGUUGCUGGGAACGGUUCUCCAAAUCCUCGCUGUAACCGGGGCUCCCCAGGGACUGCAGAUGUGGAUGCUGGUAAAAUAUUAGGGCAGCUGAUGAUGCAUCUUUCUUAAUCACUGUAGUUAAUCUUAUGUAGUAAUGAUUAGGUGCAUUACCUUGUUUUAUUUUAUUCUUGCUGUAUUAUUUCACUUAUUAUUUUAUUGCUUUAAACAUGAGUAAAGAUAAAUGCACUUCUUUAACUUGGUGUCUGUGUCCUUUGUGCUGACUCCAUCUCUUGGCAAAACAGCUUGUUAGGACAAAAGUAGAUUUUGCUGUAUCUAACUAUUCCAUUGCUGUAUGGUACAGCAUUUAUCUAUUAUCUUGUUCUUGGUGAGAAGAAUGGUCUAUUUCUUGCUUCCCUUCUGACUGACCAUAAUGCCCAUGACUAUUGAGGCAGUGUUAUGAGGUGUGAUUCUGUAGCAUCUGGAUGAAUGUAAGAAUGUUUAUUUUGACAGGAUUGUCUGAUCAGGGACCUUGUCAAGCGGGACUAGAAAGGAAACGGGGAAGCAAGAAACAAAACGUAGACACAAUCCUGACAGACAAGCGUAAGGGGAACAGACCAGCUAUCAGAAAACUGUUGGCAGAGCCAGGCUAGGCUUCUUCAUGGAUAAGAAUGCAGACCUGGGAGCUCUGGAUGUGGGAGGAGGAAGAGGAUGAUGGAUCUAUGCCAUCUGAUAAAGGAUGUGCAGGAACUGGGGAGGAUGAAUGAGAAGGAUAGGUAGAAGGUGGCAGUGGAAUAAUUGCUAGACUUGGAAAUUAAAGUUGCAGCAUUGUUCAUGCAUUAAGGAAAGCUACAAAAGCAGAGUGUGACUGGUAUGCAAGAAAUCCAUUCCGCAGAAUUUCCCUAGGC